GUAGGGAAUCUUCGGCAAUGGGGGCAACCCUGACGCAGCAAUACCGCGUGAGUGAAGAAGGUUUUCGGAUCGUAAAGCUCUGUUAUUGGGGAAGAAAACAUGACGGUACCCAAUGAGGAAGUCCCGGCUAACUACGUGCCAGCAGCCGCGGUAAUACGUAGGGGACAAGCGUUGUCCGGAAUGACUGGGCGUAAAGGGCGCGUAGGCGGUCUAUUAAGUCUGAUGUGAAAGGUACCGGCUCAACCGGUGAAGUGCAUUGGAAACUGGUAGACUUGAGUAUUGGAGAGGCAAGUGGAAUUCCUAGUGUAGCGGUGAAAUGCGUAGAUAUUAGGAGGAACACCAGUGGCGAAGGCGGCUUGCUGGACAAAUACUGACGCUGAGGUGCGAAAGCGUGGGGAGCGAACAGGAUUAGAUACCCUAGUAGUCC
rnacentral:rRNA from 1 species